rnacentral:rRNA from 1 species
GAUGAACGCUAGCGGCAGGCUUAACACAUGCAAGUCGAGGGGCAGCGCGGGAUAGCAAUAUCCUGGCGGCGACCGGCGGAAGGGUGCGUAACGCGUGAGCGACAUGCCCGUUGCCCGGGGACAACCGGUGGAAACGCCGACUAAUCCCCGAUGGGAUAUUGUGCCGCAUGGCACGAUAUUGAAAGUUACGGCGGCGACGGAUUGGCUCGCGUCCGAUUAGCUUGUUGGCGGGGUAACGGCCCACCAAGGCUGCGAUCGGUAGGGGUUCUGAGAGGAAGGCCCCCCACAAUGGGACUGAGACACGGCCCAUACUCCUACGGGAGGCAGCAGUGAGGAAUAUUGGUCAAUGGGCGGAAGCCUGAACCAGCCAUGCCGCGUGCGGGAAGGAGGCCCUAUGGGCUGUGAACCGCUUUUGCCUGGGGGCAAUAAGGGCGUCGCGCACGUCCGAUGAGAGUACCAGGCGAAUAAGCAUCGGCUAACUACG